UACAGAGGGUGCGAGCGUUAAUCGGAAUUACUGGGCGUAAAGUGCGCGUAGGCGGCUUUUCAAGUCGAUUGUGAAAUCCCCGGGCUUAACCUGGGAACUGCAGUCGAGACUGUCUAGCUAGAGUAUGGGAGAGGGAAGUGGAAUUUCAGGUGUAGCGGUGAAAUGCGUAGAUAUCUGAAGGAACAUCAGUGGCGAAAGCGACUUCCUGGACCAAUACUGACGCUCAUGUGCGAAAGCGUGGGGAGCAAACAGG
rnacentral:rRNA from 1 species